rnacentral:rRNA from 1 species
CACGUAGGGUGUGAGCGUUAAUCGGAUUUACUGGGUUUAAAGGGUGCGCAGGCGGCCCGUUAAGACAGGUGUGAAAUCCCUGGGCUCAACCUAGGAAUUGCGCUUGUGACUGGCGGGCUCGAGUACGGUAGAGGGGGGUGGAAUUCCUGGUGUAGCAGUGAAAUGCGUAGAGAUCAGGAGGAACACCGAUGGCGAAGGCAGCCCCCUGGGCCUGUACUGACGCUCAUGCACGAAAGCGUGGGGAGCAAACAGG